UGAUUAGCUAGUUGGUGGGAUAAAAGCCCACCAAGGCAACGAUCAGUAGCUGGUCUGAGAGGACGAUCAGCCACACUGGAACUGAGACACGGUCCAGACUCCUACGGGAGGCAGCAGUGAGGAAUAUUGGUCAAUGGGGGAAACCCUGAACCAGCGACGCCGCGUGAAGGAUGAAGGGGCUUUGCCUUGUAAACUUCUGUCGGAAGGGAAGAAAAGCCGGGUCGCCCGGCUGGGACUGUACCUUCAAAGGAAGGGUCGGCUAACUACGUGCCAGCAGCCGCGGUAAUACGUAGGACCCAAGCGUUGUCCGGAUUUACUGGGUGUAAAGGGUGCGCAGGCGGAUUCGUGCGUCAGAGGUUAAAUACCCCGGCUUAACCGGGGAAGUGCCUUUGAUACGGC
rnacentral:rRNA from 1 species